CAAGCUAGUAGAGGAGAAAAGAAGGAAAUUUCUAAAGAACCUAGCCGACCCAAAACACAGUGGGAUCAGGUUCUAGAUGAGAUGGUUCGUCUGGCCAAGGACUUUGUGUGGCAAAGAAAAUGGAAACUUUCUCAAGCGAAGGAGAUUGCUAUAAGAGCCAGCAAGGACAUUCUGGACCAAGCUGCUGGAGGUGAAAAGGAAG